rnacentral:rRNA from 1 species
UUGGAGGGCAAAGUCUGGUGCCAGCAGCCGCGGUAAUUCCAGCUCCAAUAGCGUAUAUUAAAGUUGUUGCAGUUAAAAAGCUCGUAGUUGAAUUUCGGGGUCAAUAAGUUGGUCGUGCCAAUGGUAUGCACUGGCUUUAUUGAUUCCUACCUCUUGACGAACUGUGAUGCCAUUAAUUUGGUGUCGCAAGGAAUCAGGACUGUUACCUUGAAAAAAUUAGAGUGUUUAAAGCAGGCUUACGCUUGAAUACAUUAGCAUGGAAUAAUGAAAUAGGACGUUUGAACCUAUUUUGUUGGUUUCUAGGAUCGACGUAAUGAUUAAUAGGGAUAGUUGGGGGCAUUAGUAUUCAAUUGUCAGAGGUGAAAUUCUUGGAUUUAUUGAAGACUAACUACUGCGAAAGCAUUUGCCAAGGAUGUUUUCAUUAAUCAAGAACGAAAGUUAGGGGAUCGAAGACGAUCAGAUACCGUCGUAGUCUUAACCAUAAACUAUGCCGACUAGGGAUCGGAUGAUGUUAAUUUUUUAAUGACUCAUUCGGCGCCUUACGGGAAAC